CAGAAUAUAGCUAAACUUAUAGUACUUCACUUACACUGAAGAGUUACCCGUGCAAAUCGGACUAUUCUGA
rnacentral:tRNA from 1 species